GUUUUCCAGUAUGUACUAAAAUCUUAAGGAGGAACAUGCUGUGUUUCUAGAACUGGAGAAGCAAUUCAGGAAAUUGCUGAAACUGCAACACUCUUAACAGGGGCCUUGUGUCUAUGGUGCAGCUCACUAGGCCACACCACACACAAUGUGCUUAGGAGGACUACUACCAAAACAGGCCUGGUUUUAAACACUAAAGCGUGUCAUGUAGGCAGUGUGACAAAUGUGACACCACUGUUUCAUGCUUGAUGCUACAAGCAAUCUUACUGUUAUUUAACCUAUUCCAGAUCAACCCAGUGCAGAAGGAGAAGCAAACUCGUAGUAGGUGGCUUUGCAGGCAGUAGGCCUUAGAUGCUAGCAAUGCACAGUCUGUGACAAAACUCAUUAAUGAUUAGUUCAGCAAAGACAUGCUCUGUAAAACAAGGACACACCAUCAGAAAAUCCUGAAGAAAAAGACUUAAAAUGCAACUUCUAGCACUAAGUAAAUAACUAGCAAAAAAAAGAUAAGCCUCUGAAUACUGAGAGGGAUGAAUACUGAGACAAGACUCAGAAACAUGACAUUUGAGUGUCUCCUCAAAGUUCAUUCAGACUGUGCAAACCCCUUGUAUUUAAACCAUUUACCCUAGAGUAAACCACACCACAAAGGGACAAGCAAAAAAUGUAUGCGUUAGUGAAGCAAACAAGACCUUACAUUUUCUUUGUCUACUAUUACAUUUUAUUAGCACACAAAUUACAAGAGGGCACUUUCAGAGGGCUUACACUGAUCAUUGGGUCCUGAAAGACACAGACGAAGGGAAAGCAGUUUCCCUUGAAAAGAUUUGUGUGUUUGUUGGCUUCUUCCCCCCCCCCAACUGAAAUCUGGUUUAGAGCACAGCCCUACAAGCAACUGUAUUGCUAUGUUGGUUAUAACAAUCUGCAGUGGCAGCAAAGAGCCUCAAGGUAUGUCAGGAUACUGCCCAUCCCAUGUUACAGGGAGGCCUGUACUCUAAGCCACCCAAAGCAGGACUGUAAAACACUCAGGUUUUGUUUGUCUGCUUUUUCUAAAGGAUCGUGCAGAAUUCUGAAGGGGAAAGGGUACAUUUUUGGUAAUGGGGAGUGGCUGCGAUCGGAGAAAGCAGCAUGUUCGUGUGAACAUCAACCACCAUGCAACAUGUCUGAACAGAAGUUUGUUAGGAUAAACCAUAAGAAGACAGCAAAUGAGGCUGGGGACCUCGCAAUGACUGAC
rnacentral:lncRNA from 1 species